rnacentral:lncRNA from 1 species
GUAAUUGGACAGGGACUAUCCUGCCACACAUGUUUGUGUGGGUAGCUCUGCAGUAGAAUUCAAAAUCUUGGGGGGUAUGCCUAGGAAUGGUAUAGUUGGGUCAUGCAGUCAUUCUUUAUUGAUACCUUUUUGAGUAAACUCCACACUGAUUUUUAUAGUUGAUAAAACAGUUUACACAGACACUAAGAGAAAUCAGCAUUCUCUCUUCCUCCACUUGCCUGUAUUUGUUGACAUUUGGUUUCUUGAUGAUAACCAUUCUGAGUGAGAUGAAGUUAACCUCAAAGUAAUUUCUUGAUGACUAAAGAGGUGGAACUCUUUCAAAAUAUAUAUACAUUUGCAUAUCUUGAGAGCUUUUCAGUUCUAUAGCCCAUUAUUUGGAUUGUUAUCUUUGUGUGUGGGUAUAUAUGUGCACUCAUGUGUGCAUGCUCCUGUUAAUCCUAUGCCAGAAUAUAUGGCUCCUAAAUACUUUCUCAUCGUUUUGGAAAGCCUCUUUACUCUAUUAACACUUUCUGUUGCAGUAUCUAUCCUUUGAAUUUUUAUUUGUUGAUUUUUUUUAACCUAUUUCCUAAGCCACUAGAAUCCUACUCAGAAUGUCCUCAGCUAUGUCUGUAUUUCAAAAUAUUAUUUUUCUAGAACAGUGGUUCUCAAUCUUCCUAAUGCUGUGAUUCUAUAAUACAAUUCCUCAUGUUGUGGUGACCACCAACCAUAAAUUAUUUUUAUUUUUGUUGUUGUUGCUACAUCAUAACUGUAAAUUUGCUACUGUUAUGAAUCAUAAUGUAGAUAUUUGUUAUGUGGCCCUCUGAAAGGGUUGUUUGACCCCUAAAGGGUUCCAGACCCACAGGCUGAGAAUCACUGCUCUAGGAACUAUAGAGGUUCAAGUCUUUUUUUUUUUUUUUUAAAGAUUUAUUUAUUUAUUAUAUGUAAGUACAUAUAGUAAGCUAUCUUCAGACACUCCAGAAGAGGGAGUCAGAUCUUGUUACAGAUGGCUGUGAGCCACCAUGUGGUUGCUGGGAUUUGAACUCUGGACCUUCGGAAGAACAGUCGGGUGCUCUUACCCACUGAGCAAUCUCACCAGCCCGAGGUUCAAGUCUUAUGUUAUGGGUUUUGAUCUAUUUGGAGCUGCUUUUUUGUUUAUUUGUGGAUCGAGAAAAGCUGUAGUUUCCGAUUUCUGCAUGUUUGUAUCCAGCUUUCCUGAUGCCCUUUGUGAAAAGAGGCUGUCAUUCCUUUACUUAAUUCUAUUCUCUCUGUCUCUGUCUGUCUCUCUCUCUGCCUGUCUCUCUCUCUCUCCUGUCUGUCUGUCUGUCUGUCUGUCUGUCUGUCUGAGGUGAGUACAUAUGAGCAUGUGAAUUCAGAUGGUUGAAGAGCCCCGAAGUGGAUCAGAUCUCCUGCAGCUGGAGUUGCAGGCAGUUGUAACCAUUCAUUAUGGGUGCUGGAAACCAAGCCUGAGCCCACCCUCUGGGAAAACAGCAAUCACUUUGAUCCACUGCACCAUUGCUCCACCCUAGAUGCUGUCUUUACUCCUGAGUUUAGUUUUCAUGUCUUUGUCAAAAAUCAUAUAGCUGUUACUUGUUUGGGUUUUUGUCUGGUACAAUCACUUAAUUACGUUGAUUUAGUAGCCUACUUUUGCGAUAGCAUAUUUCUGCUGUUUUUAUUACUUUUGUUGUGCAAUAUAACCUGAGGUCAGAUAUACUGACAACUGUGGCAUUAUUCUGUUUGAUCAGGAUGGCUAUGGCUCUCUGAGCUUUUUUAUAUAGCCAUACAAAUUUUAACAAUAUUUUUCUCAUUCUGUGGGGCAUUGGAAUUUUUGCUUUUCCUUCUCCAGCUUAGUAUGCAUGUGGUGUGUCUUUCAUGUUUGUGCAGUCAUAUCGGUGAGAAUUUAUGGCUUCGGAUUUCACAAUAGAGACUCUGACCUUUUGAUUUUUAUAGUCCUUCUGCCCCCUCUUCAGCAAUGUUUUCUGAGCCUUAUUUGUUAUACUGUUUUGUAGACGAAACCAACUGGGACUGGUCUGCACAAAUCUGCAUUUUGGUGGUUGUGGUUUUGUAUGGUGUUUCCAUUUGUUGCAAAGAUAAGUUUCCUUAAUGACUGUUAAAGGUAACACUUAUCUGUGGGCAUGAACACAUAUGUUUAUAGAUUAUAGUUAGGGAUUAUGUUGAUUUAAUAAAUUAUUGAUUGUAGAUUCUACCCCAGUUUCCAUGAUUUUCAUUAGUACUGAGUAGUGGUUUCCAGUUUCAAGCAUGGUCUCUCUCUCUUGUUGAAUGGGUCUUAAAUAUAAUGAGAGAGCAGUUGGUUACUACCAAGUAUGUGUUCUACUACUAUGUCUGGUAUGCUGGUAAUUGAUGUAGUUCAUAGGUGACAGAGAUGGGUAGGACUGUUUCUACUUCCCUCCUUUGGAAAUUUCCCUUCUUCUGGUACUAUGAAAGCUUGUCCUUAGAGAGGGGUCAGGAUGUUCAGGUUCAUUGUAGCUCAGGGCCUCUGGCCAUGUUUCUGAAGUGUAUGAUGUCUUCAGCAGUAGGUACUUACCUUCUAUCUCUAUUUGGCAACCAAGGGCUAAAGUAAGAGUGUGUAUGUUUUGGGAGUCUCUUAGACAGCCCUGGUCAACAACACAAAAGAAGGCUUCUCAUGUUUGGCAUUGGGGUUUUUCUCAGGUAGUUUUGACCUUUGAAGGGAAUAUUAUCAGCUCAAAAGAGAAAAGCUCAUUAAUAUUAUAUAUCUAUAUUAUGUAUAUUUAUACAUUGAAUUACAUGCAUUAAGUGAUUUUUUUUCUAGGUAAGUAAUUAAUAGUAUGAUAUCUUGUGAUUUUUCUCAACCAUAUUGUUAUUUACCUACCUUCUUCCUUCUGUACUUAUCUCUAUCCCCUUUUCUUAAAGUGAUGUUCCAUCUUUCCCAUUUUCCUUAUCCAGUCACUUGUAUCAUGCAUGCCGUUCCCCUUUUGCCCCGUCUCACCUUCUUUUGUAUUUACCUACCUCUUAUUCCCCAACGAACCCUCGAUUUUCCCAUUUUCCUUACCAGAUUUCUUAUAAUGUGCUAUUUCCUUCUCUAUUGUCCCUCAGAUACAGUAUCUUGAUAGUGGUCCCAUUUUACUUUCCUGGUUUCUGUAGUUACUAUAGGGUAUGUACUCACAUUAGAAGAUUUGGAGCUGAAAACCUUCAGUAAGAGAACACAUACCACAUUUGUCUUUUGGGUCUGGAUUCCUUCCUCAAUAUGAUCUUUUCUAGUUCUAUCCAUUUGCCUGCAGUUUUUAUGAUUCUGUUUUUCUUUGCUGCUAAAUAGUAUCCCAUAGUGUAUAGGAACCACAUUUUCAUUAUCUAUUUAUUAUUUAUAGAACACUUAGGCUGUUUCCUCGUCCUAGGUGUUAUUAAACAUAACAUUCGCCUUUGAACAUGGCUG